rnacentral:rRNA from 1 species
AAAUUACUCAUGUUUUCAACUCAAUUAGAAACAAACCUACCAUAAACCUCAAAAAAAGAGAA